rnacentral:rRNA from 1 species
UACAGAGGGUGCGAGCGUUGUUCGGAAUUAUUGGGCGUAAAGAGCGUGUAGGCGGCUCGGUAAGUCCGCUGUGAAAGUCCAGGGCUCAACCCUGGAAUGCCAGUGGAAACUGUCGAGCUAGAGUCCGGAAGAGGCGAGUGGAAUUCCUGGUGUAGCGGUGAAAUGCGCAGACAUCAGGAGGAACACCAAUGGCGAAGGCAGCUCGCUGGGCAGUAACUGACGCUGAGGAGCGAAAGCGUGGGGAGCGAACAGG